GUCACCAUCUCAUAUGCCAUAAUAUUAUGUCUGAUAGUUUUCUUUAUCAUAAAUCCAGUACCUAGGAUGUUGGCUUCUUCCCCACUAUUAAUCAGUGUAUAUAAUCUCGUAACUCUGUUACCUCUGUUUCCUUCCAUCUGAUUUAUUGUAGUGCCACUACAUCUAUCUUAUACUUUAAUAACUGUUGUUCCAAUCUUUUUCUAGCUUUGUGCUGAAAAAUACUUCUUACAUUCCAUAGUCCAAACAUUCUCGUUUUUCCCUUUUUACAUUGCGGAGUUUGGCAUAAUGUUGAGGCUGUCCAGCUAUUACUGUGAUUUGGCUUCUCAGCUGGUUUUGUUUUUACGGUGUGGGGUAGUUGGCCCUAUGCCCAACCCUCAACCUGAGGGACCAGGUCAUUUGAUUUUGGGGUUUCCGUCCCCUAGAAUGGUUGCUUUCACCACAGCUUCUGGAGUCCGGUCCACCACUGCCUUCUAGCCUUUGGAUAAACAAAUCCUAUUUGCAAGGCAGCACAACCCUCCUCCUUCCUCAACCGGGCUUGGGACCAUCUAUGGCGGAGUUUGUCUGAGGGUUUAGAACUGUUUUUUCUUAAAAAUUACUGUUAUUGGCAAACAAGUAUUCUUUAAUUGUUGAAGUUUCCUAAAAAUGUGAGAAGGCAGAACUACCUUAUCAUCUGGCUACCGACGUCUAUCUUCUGUUUACUGUUGCUUUAUAGAUAAUGCCCAUAGAUGUCAGUGAGGUUGUGUAUUUUACGAAAUGUGUCAGGAAUUAAGUUCGAGUUAGUAGUCCUGUGGGCUGUGGCACCAUGUUGUCAGUAUGAAUUUUACGAUGCCGGCUUAGAAGUUGGGUAGAGGCAUGUUGGAUCUAAAUUAAACUUCUGUGAUUGUGUGUAGUGUCGACUCUCUCUGUUUUCGUUAUAGCUUUGGCUCAUUAUUCGAUUUCACGAAAUGCUUAUGUUUGCGGUUAAUCAAUUCCUAUAAUGGAUAAAGCUCAUUUGUGUGAAUAUUGAAUGAAAUGGGUUAGUUAACAUGUCAGCUAACAUUCACUUAUUCUGUAUUUUAUCUUGCAUGUAGAGAUGUACGUGGUGAUCGGAUCCGUAGUGGAAUUACUGAUGUGUUAAUCUCGCAGUGCAGCGUAUACCAAUAUGUUGAUGGACAUGAGAAUACAGAAAAUAAAGGAAGACCUUGGCAGUCUGUGACAGUAUUUGCGUUAUGUUAUACGUUACAUUAUUGUAAUCAGAGGCAUUACUUGGAAAUGGCUUUUAUGUUAAGAGCUACUAGCUUAAAAAAACCUAAAUUCAGUGAAAUUUUAGGUGGUUAGGUUAGAAGGCUUCAAAUUUGGACUACCAUCUAUAACCAAACUUUAAUUUAGAGUUGCAGACAUUUGAUUUGCAUGCUCCACAUCAAACCCUGGAAGAAAUUAGUGACGGAGUUGCAAUGGCACAGGCUCUUACCCAAAUAGGUCCUUGCAGCAAGGACCUCUGAAAUGCCAGUAAACUUGUACGAGACUACACGGCACUAGAACCCAGAAGACAGCCAUCUCUGGACUCACCGCCGUGAAAACCAGAAGGCCUAACUUGUCCCAGUCUGAGUGACUGACAGAAAACUCUUGAAUCAUGUAGUUACGUGAUGAAAUGUGCGGAAACUUGCCACUGGUCCACAAAACCUCAGUUCUGUUAUUUGUGAUGGAUGUCAAAAAUUAAAACUGAUGCUGGGAAUACAAUCCAAUGUAAGCCAUGCGCAGCGAUGUAAAUACAUUUUUUUUGUGGUUUACUUUGUCUGGUUGACAGAAUUUAAGUGUGAACAAUUUUAUUGCAUAAGUGUUUGUAUUAGGAUUAGACAGUUAUAUUGAAAAUUAUUAAAUAUUACUAACAUGUU